rnacentral:rRNA from 1 species
UACGAAGGGGGCUAGCGUUGCUCGGAAUCACUGGGCGUAAAGCGCACGUAGGCGGCUUUUUAAGUCAGGGGUGAAAUCCUGGAGCUCAACUCCAGAACUGCCUUUGAUACUGGGAGCUUGAGUCCGGAAGAGGUGAGUGGAACUCCGAGUGUAGAGGUGAAAUUCGUAGAUAUUCGGAAGAACACCAGUGGCGAAGGCGGCUCACUGGUCCGGUACUGACGCUGAGGUGCGGAAAGCGUGGGGAGCAAACAGGG